rnacentral:lncRNA from 1 species
GCUGCCUGGGGAUGGCUCGAAAAUGCAUAGCCCCUAACUUUAAAGGGUUGUCACUGAACCCCAACCGCCGUCUGUGUCCAACUCCCCAGCGUCAAGACUCGCCCUCCUGGUUUUGACGCUUGCGUGUCCUGAUGCCGAAUCUGCCUGCCUGACCACUCUGCCUGUUCUGACCUCGAGCUUGCCUAUCCCCUUGUACUGUUUGGACUCGGACCUGUUCACUGAACCCCUGCCUGUCCUGACCUCGAGCCUGCCUAUCCCCUGGUACUGUUUGGACUCUGACCUGGUUUAUGAACGCUCGCCUGUCCCCGACCUGCCUUUUGCCUACCCCUUUUGGUGUAAUAAAUAUCGGAGCUCAACCAUCUGCCUCCUGUGUCUGCAUUUGGGUCUCGCCUUGUGCCCUUAUAGUACGAACU